GCCGGGGUCGCCUAGCCUGGUAGGGCGCACGCCUGGAAAGCGUGUUCUCGCAAGGGAUCGAGAGUUCAAAUCUCUCUCCCGGCG
rnacentral:tRNA from 1 species